rnacentral:rRNA from 1 species
GACGAACGCUGGCGGCGUGCUUAACACAUGCAAGUCGAACGGAAAGGCCCUGCUUUUGUGGGGUGCUCGAGUGGCGAACGGGUGAGUAACACGUGAGUAACCUGCCCUUGACUUUGGGAUAACUUCAGGAAACUGGGGCUAAUACCGGAUAGGAGCUCCUGCUGCAUGGUGGGGGUUGGAAAGUUUCGGCGGUUGGGGAUGGACUCGCGGCUUAUCAGCUUGUUGGUGGGGUAGUGGCUUACCAAGGCUUUGACGGGUAGCCGGCCUGAGAGGGUGACCGGCCACAUUGGGACUGAGAUACGGCCCAGACUACGACGGGAGGCAGCAGUGGGGAAUAGUGCACAAUGGGCGGAAGCCUGAUGCAGCAACGCCGCGUGCGGGAUGACGGCCUUCGGGUUGUAAACCGCUUUCGCCUGUGACGAAGCGUGAGUGACGGUAAUGGGUAAAGAAGCACCGGCUAACUACGUG